UACGUAGGGGGCAAGCGUUGUCCGGAUUUAUUGGGCGUAAAGCGCUCGCAGGUGGUUCGUCGCGUCGUGCGUGAAAGACCCCGGCUCAACUGGGGAGGGUCGUGCGAUGCGGGCGAACUGGAGGCCAGUAGGGGGAUGCGGAAUUCCGGGUGUAGUGGUGGAAUGCGUAGAUAUCGAGAGGAACACCUGCGGCGAAGGCGGGUUGCUGGGCUGAUACUGACGCUGAGGCGCGAAAGCCAGGGGAGCGAACGGG
rnacentral:rRNA from 1 species